rnacentral:rRNA from 1 species
GACGAACGCUGGCGGCGUGCUUAACACAUGCAAGUCGAACGGAAAGGCCCUGCUUUUGUGGGGUGCUCGAGUGGCGAACGGGUGAGUAACACGUGAGUAUCCCGCCCUUGACUUUGGGAUAACUUCAGGAAACUGGGGCUAAUACCGGAUAGGAGCUCCUGCUGCAUGGUGGGGGUUGGAAAGUUUCGGCGGUUGGGGAUGGACUCGCGGCUUACCAGCUUGUUGGUGGGGUAGUGGCUUACGAAGGCUUUGACGGGUAGCCGGCCUGAGAGGGGGACCGGGCACAUGGGGACUAAGAUACGGACCAGACUCCUACGGGAGGCAGCAGUGGGAAGUAUUGCACAGUGAGCGGGAGCCUGAGACAGCAGCGCCGCGUGCGUGAAGACGGCCUACGGGGUGUAAACCGCUUUGGCCUGUAACGAAGCGUGAGUGACGGUAAUGGAUAAAGAAGCAACGGCUAACUACGUG